rnacentral:lncRNA from 1 species
CUUCAAGUCAAAAUACUUGCCCUUUAAAGAAUUUCAAAAAAAAAAUUACUUGAAAAAGCCUCUGCGAGUAAACGGUUCAAUUGAAAUCUCACAAUGCCCUUUAAAGAAUUUCGGGAAAAAAAAAAAUUACUUGAAGAAGCCUCUGCGAGUAAACGGUUCAAUUGAAAUCUUACAAUAACUCGUAGCAAAUAUAACACCGAAAAAUGUGCACUUUAGAGAAACACGGCGACGUUUUUGUCCUAACCUUAACCGGUUCCUCCGACGUUGACGAACACCGGUUCGGUCCUCCCGCAAUCGACUCGAUCCUCUCGGCUAUCGCCAAAGCCAAAGCCGAAGCAACUCCCGGCUCCGCUCUUAUAACCACUUCUCAUGGCAAAUUCUUCUCCAACGGCUUCGACCUCGCCUGGGCCCAAGCCGCCGGCUCACGAACCGGCGCCCGGGAACGCCUCCACUAUAUGGUCGAAUCCUUCAGGCCGGUGGUAGCCGCCAUGAUGGAUCUAC